rnacentral:rRNA from 1 species
UUAAAUUGAAGAGUUUGAUCAUGGCUCAGAUUGAACGCUGGCGGCAGGCCUAACACAUGCAAGUCGAGCGGUAGCACAGAGAGCUUGCUCUCGGGUGACGAGCGGCGGACGGGUGAGUAAUGUCUGGGAAACUGCCUGAUGGAGGGGGAUAACUACUGGAAACGGUAGCUAAUACCGCAUAAUGUCGCAAGACCAAAGUGGGGGACCUUCGGGCCUCAUGCCAUCAGAUGUGCCCAGAUGGGAUUAGCUAGUAGGUGGGGUAACGGCUCACCUAGGCGACGAUCCCUAGCUGGUCUGAGAGGAUGACCAGCCACACUGGAACUGAGACACGGUCCAGACUCCUACGGGAGGCAGCAGUGGGGAAUAUUGCACAAUGGGCGCAAGCCUGAUGCAGCCAUGCCGCGUGUGUGAAGAAGGCCUUCGGGUUGUAAAGCACUUUCAGCGGGGAGGAAGGCGAUAAGGUUAAUAACCUUGUCGAUUGACGUUACCCGCAGAAGAAGCACCGGCUAACUCCGUGCCAGCAGCCGCGGUAAUACGGAGGGUGCAAGCGUUAAUCGGAAUUACUGGGCGUAAAGCGCACGCAGGCGGUCUGUCAAGUCGGAUGUGAAAUCCCCGGGCUCAACCUGGGAACUGCAUUCGAAACUGGCAGGCUAGAGUCUUGUAGAGGGGGGUAGAAUUCCAGGUGUAGCGGUGAAAUGCGUAGAGAUCUGGAGGAAUACCGGUGGCGAAGGCGGCCCCCUGGACAAAGACUGACGCUCAGGUGCGAAAGCGUGGGGAGCAAACAGGAUUAGAUACCCUGGUAGUCCACGCCGUAAACGAUGUCGAUUUGGAGGUUGUGCCCUUGAGGCGUGGCUUCCGGAGCUAACGCGUUAAAUCGACCGCCUGGGGAGUACGGCCGCAAGGUUAAAACUCAAAUGAAUUGACGGGGGCCCGCACAAGCGGUGGAGCAUGUGGUUUAAUUCGAUGCAACGCGAAGAACCUUACCUGGUCUUGACAUCCACAGAACUUUCCAGAGAUGGAUUGGUGCCUUCGGGAACUGUGAGACAGGUGCUGCAUGGCUGUCGUCAGCUCGUGUUGUGAAAUGUUGGGUUAAGUCCCGCAACGAGCGCAACCCUUAUCCUUUGUUGCCAGCGGUUAGGCCGGGAACUCAAAGGAGACUGCCAGUGAUAAACUGGAGGAAGGUGGGGAUGACGUCAAGUCAUCAUGGCCCUUACGACCAGGGCUACACACGUGCUACAAUGGCAUAUACAAAGAGAAGCGACCUCGCGAGAGCAAGCGGACCUCAUAAAGUAUGUCGUAGUCCGGAUUGGAGUCUGCAACUCGACUCCAUGAAGUCGGAAUCGCUAGUAAUCGUAGAUCAGAAUGCUACGGUGAAUACGUUCCCGGGCCUUGUACACACCGCCCGUCACACCAUGGGAGUGGGUUGCAAAAGAAGUAGGUAGCUUAACCUUCGGGAGGGCGCUUACCACUUUGUGAUUCAUGACUGGGGUGAAGUCGUAACAAGGUAACCGUAGGGGAACCUGCGGUUGGAUCACCUCCUUA